rnacentral:lncRNA from 10 species
ACCCAUCUCUCCUUCGUUGGGGUAUUGAGCAAGCCUUUAGUGUGGAAGGAAACAGGUCCUGAGGUGUGCAGGAAGUGGCCUGGGAUUUUCCAUAUUUCUGUAACAGCACAACUAUCACUGCAGCCAGGUCAUUUAUGAUGGCCGCUGGGAGGACACUGAGAAGCAGCUGCUACCUGUGGAAAGAACUGUAGGAUUUUAGUUGAUGAGAACCACUGAGGGAUAUGGCUGCCAAAAUAAUAAAAUAAUCUUAGGUGACAUCACUGGUGGUAGAGUGUGUAGAAACAAGGGAGGUGAAAGCCCACACUGCAGUGUGUUGGUCAGAUUCCUUGGGGGACAGGGUCUAGGUCCGGCACAUGCCAGGAAGCCUGGCCAAAGGGAGAGAUGGUCACUGACUGCCUACUACGUGGCAGGAUCAUGCUAGGUGCUUCACAUGUGUUCUCUCAUUUCACAUCAGGGAAGUCAUGUGAGAAAAUAUCACCCCCAUGUACAGAAGGGAAAACUGGGGGUUACUGCAGUGAAGUAGCCUGCACAGCAUCAUCCCGCCUGGAAGUGAAGGAGCUUGGAAUUGGGGCCAGGCCUGGCUGACUCCCAAAGUGUGUGCCCUUGUUGGACACUGGGGCUCCCCUAGAAGCUGGCGUUCCACUCUUUCAUACCAUGUUGCAUUCUUCUCUGGGGAUCCCCAGAUACAAAAGAGAAUGGACUCAGUGUUCCUUCCUGUUCAGCAGAGCAACCCCCACCCCUCAUUCCCUGCCACCCCUCUGGAAUCAGCCCUGGAUGAGAGUGAGUUGAUAGGACUAGGAGCUGAGCUGUGCCAUUCUGGGCUUCCCACCCCCCAGGCACAGAAAACAGUGAUCAAAAUGAAACCACUUGGCAGAACCCUCCUCACUCCCUAGGGACAGAGUGCAGUCACUCAGGCCCAUGUUCCCUGCAAAGACGUUGAGGUCCGUGAAAGUAGGUCCAUCCCAUGAGGGGGCAUCUGAGAAGAGAGGUGGGGUGGUGCCGUGGUGAGCAGCACAGACUCCAUUGCGGGACUGCCCGGGCUGAGUCCCGGCUCUGGCACUUUGCCUCUGUGUGACUGUGGGCAAGUUGCUUCACCUCUCCGUGCUUUUGUUUCUUUCCAGGUAGAAUGGGGAUUAUUAUUUGUGCCUGCUUCCAGGUGUGAGCCACCGCACCCGGCCUACAGUGCUUGUUCUUUUAUGGCUGUUUUAUUUCACUUAAUGUUCUCAAGGACCAUCCAUGUUGUGGCAUAUGCCAGAAUUUCCUUCCUUUUUAGGGCUGAAUUGUAUGUCUGGCCCACAUUUUGCUGACCACUCAUCCGUUGAUGGACACGUGAUGCUUUCACCUCUUGGCUUUUGUGAAUGAUGCUGCUACAAACGUGGGUGUU